rnacentral:rRNA from 1 species
AGUGAACGCUGGCGGUAGGCCUAACACAUGCAAGUCGAACGGCAGCACAGUAAGAGCUUGCUCUUACGGGUGGCGAGUGGCGGACGGGUGAGGAAUACAUCGGAAUCUACUUUUUCGUGGGGAUAACGUAAGGAAACUUACGCUAAUACCGCAUACGACCUACGGGUGAAAGCAGGGGAUCUUCGGACCUUGCGCGAUUGCAUGAGCCGAUGUCGGAUUAGCUAGUUGGCGGGGUAAAGGCCCACCAAGGCGACGAUCCGUAGCUGGUCUGAGAGGAUGAUCAGCCACACUGGAACUGAGACACGGUCCAGACUCCUACGGGAGGCAGCAGUGGGGAAUAUUGGACAAUGGGCGCAAGCCUGAUCCAGCCAUACCGCGUGGGUGAAGAAGGCCUUCGGGUUGUAAAGCCCUUUUGUUGGGAAAGAAAAGCAGCAGGUUAAUACCCCGCUGUCCUGACGGUACCCAAAGAAUAAGCACCGGCUAACUUCGUG